UACGGAGGGUGCAAGCGUUAAUCGGAAUAACUGGGCGUAAAGCGCACGCAGGCGGUCAGAUAAGUCAGAUGUGAAAGCCCCGGGCUCAACCUGGGAACUGCAUUUGAAACUGUCCGACUAGAGUCUUGUAGAGGGGGGUAGAAUUCCAGGUGUAGCGGUGAAAUGCGUAGAGAUCUGGAGGAAUACCGGUGGCGAAGGCGGCCCCCUGGACAAAGACUGACGCUCAGGUGCGAAAGCGUGGGGAGCAAACAGG
rnacentral:rRNA from 1 species